GUUGUAAUAGAUAUUAUCUCCUGUCUUCAUUCGUUUCCCAUUUCAGGCUGUAGAGUCAUCACUCUUGCUGUCCAUCUCUGUUGGCACUCAGCCUUUCCCAUUGUGUGGGAACACCCGACUGUGUGGCCACUUGUGCUGUGGAUCUCCCCUGGCUCUCAGCCUUUCCGAUUGGAGGCUGUGAGGCUUACGUUUGACUUUGGUCAGCUUUGGCGAACUGUUGGCACUUUGUGCUGUCUACCCCUCCCUGGCACUUUGUGCUGUCUACCCUCCCUGGCAAGCUGUGCUGUCCUCCCACUCCCUGGUACGCUGCCC